UACGUAGGGGGCAAGCGUUGUCCGGAAUUAUUGGGCGUAAAGAGCGUGUAGGCGGUCCGGUAAGUCAGCUGUGAAAGUCAAGGGCUCAACCCUUGAAUGCCGGUUGAUACUGUCGGGCUAGAGUCCGGAAGAGGCGAGUGGAAUUCCCGGUGUAGCGGUGAAAUGCGCAGAUAUCGGGAGGAACACCAGCGGCGAAGGCGGCACUCUGGGCUGGUACUGACGCUGAGGAGCGAAAGCGUGGGUAGCAAACAGG
rnacentral:rRNA from 1 species